rnacentral:rRNA from 1 species
GAGCGGGUGUAGCAAUACACCAGCGGCAGACGGGUGAGUAACGCGUGGGAACGUACCUUUUGGUUCGGAACAACCCAGGGAAACUUGGGCUAAUACCGGAUACGCCCUUACGGGGAAAGAUUCAUUGCCGAAGGAACGGCCCGCGUCCGAUUAGCUUGUUGGUGAGGUAACGGCUCACCAAGGCGACGAUCGGUAGCUGGUCUGAGAGGAUGAUCAGCCACACUGGGACUGAGACACGGCCCAGACUCCUACGGGAGGCAGCAGUGGGGAAUAUUGGACAAUGGGCGCAAGCCUGAUCCAGCCAUGCCGCGUGAGUGAUGAAGGCCCUAGGGUUGUAAAGCUCUUUCGGCGGGGAAGAUAAUGACGGUACCCGCAGAAGAAGCCCCGGCUAACUUCGUG